ensembl:lncRNA
UGAAGAGGUGAGUAUUUAUGACGUCCUGUGGGAGACCAGUGAGAGAGUAGCAGAUGAGAUCCUCGACUCAGCCUUCCUCAGAGGGAUGUAUUCCAGACGUCUGCCUGCCCGCUGCUAUGCUGACUUCUGCCACCAGGAGGUGCUAUACCUGGACAGAGUCAUCACCAUGCUGCGGGUGCUGAUCAGAACAGUCCAGGGUCCUCCAGACAUCAUGAUGUUUCUCCAGAGAACACAUCAACGCUACCAGGAGUCACUGAAGAAGGCCCAGAUCCAAACUCCACCACACCUGAACCUGUCCUCCAUCCAGCCCUCUGCAGCUGUGCGUCAGUACCUCCAGAGCUUCCAUGACAUUGUAAAUGAGGAGCCCAUUUACUGGCUGGUGUCUCUGCUGCCCAGAGCCCUGCUCAGACCUUACCUGGCACAGAACCUGCCCCUGGGAGAGAGGACCAGACCAGACCCCAGCCCCUGCCUCUACCCCUGGCUAAACCUCUUCCCCUGCCCCUGCUACCAGUGGGGGGGAGAGGACAUGAAGCCUGACCAGAGGAACCAGAAGGAUGAGUCUGGGACAUAUUACAGCUGGUUUCCCACUGGUGACAAGGAGGAAGAGGAGGACCAACCCAACCUGUGGUCUGUGGAGUCUGGUCCUGACGUUAGGGUGAAGCUGUAGCAGUGCAGCUGUAGAAUACAGGGAGCUGAGUGUGUAAGGCUGUGUGUGUUGGCUUUCACACUGGGCAGGACUGUUCCUCUUGUCAGACAUAUUCCAAUAUUCCACUUUUAUGUUAGUAACUUCCCCCAAAUAUCUACUGUUUAAACUGUAUUAAUGCAAUAACACAAUGAAUGUU